rnacentral:lncRNA from 1 species
GGAGGCAUUGCAAUAAUUGUUCAAGUGUCUUCUUGAGGAAAUAACUAAAACAGGGCCAGCUGUCACAAACCACCCUACAAUAAUGAUCCCUGUGUGUGCAUCUUCAGUAUUCAUGGGAAGGCCUUGUUUUUUGUUUACUUGUGAAAUCAGCCAAAAGUAUUUGAAAUUUUCUCUUCCCAAGAUACAGCUGUGAAAUGACUAAUGGAAAUUGAGUGAGCCUGCACCAGGAACUGAAUGUGCCACUUCACUGAGAACAAAAAAAUGUUCCCCCGAUAGAGGCUGUCCUCUCAGAUUAAUACC